AUCUAUGCCUGGCCAGGAUGAAGCCAGAGGAAACUCUGGUGGAAGUCCGUAGCGAUUCUGACGUGCAAAUCGAUCGUCGGAGCUGGGUAUAGGGGCGAAAGACCAAUCGAACCAUCUAGUAGCUGGUUCCCUCCGAAGUUUCCCUCAGGAUAGCUGGUGCUCAGUUUGAAGGAGUUUCAUCCGGUAAAGAGAAUGAUUAGGGGUCCUUGGGGAUGAAAUUUCCUCAGCCCAUUCUCAAACUCUAAAUGGGUGAAGUGACGGGCUUUCUUUAUUGAAGCCUCGCCUCUAAAAGCAGAAUCCGAGUACCUAGUGGGCCAUUUUUGGUAAGCAGAACUGGCGCUGUGGGAUGAACCAAAAGUCGAGUUAAGGGGCCUAAGUAUCGGCUCAUUCAGAACCCUUGAAAGGCGUUGGUCGCUCAUGACAGCAGGUCGGUGGCCAUGGAAGUCGGCA
rnacentral:rRNA from 1 species